rnacentral:rRNA from 1 species
ACUAACAAGGAUUCCCCUAGUAACUGCGAGUGAAGCGGGAAAAGCUCAAAUUUAAAAUCUGGCAGUCUUUGGCUGUCCGAGUUGUAAUCUAGAGAAGUAUUAUCCGCGCUGGACCGUGUACAAGUCUCCUGGAAUGGAGCGUCAUAGAGGGUGAGAAUCCCGUCUUUGACACGGACUGCCAGGGCUUUGUGAUGUGCUCUCAAAGAGUCGAGUUGUUUGGGAAUGCAGCUCAAAAUGGGUGGUAAAUUCCAUCUAAAGCUAAAUAUUGGCGAGAGACCGAUAGCGAACAAGUACCGUGAGGGAAAGAUGAAAAGAACUUUGGAAAGAGAGUUAAACAGUACGUGAAAUUGCUGAAAGGGAAACGCUUGAAGUCAGUCGCGUUGGCCAGGGAUCAACCUUGCUUUUUUGCUUGGCUUACUUUCUGGUUGAUGGGUCAGCAUCAAUUUUGACUGGUGGAAAAAGUUCAAGGGAAUGUGGCAUCUUCUGAUGUGUUAUAGCCUUUGUUCGCAUACAUCGGUUGGGAUUGAGGAACUCAGCACGCCGCAAGGCCGGGUUUUUAACCACGUACGUGCUUAGGAUGCUGGCAUAAUGGCUUUAAUCGACCCGUCUUGAAACACGGACCAAGGAGUCUAACAUGCCUGCGAGUGUUUGGGUGAAAAACUCGAGCGCGUAAUGAAAGUGAAAGUUGAGAUCCCUGUCAUGGGGAGCAUUGACGCCCGGAUCUGACCUUUUGUGACGAUUCUGCGGUAGAGCAUGUAUGUUGGGACCCGAAAGAUGGUGAACUAUGCCUGAAUAGGGUGAAGCCAGAGGAAACUCUGGUGGAGGCUCGUAGCGAUUCUGACGUGCAAAUCGAUCGUCAAAUUUGGGUAUAGGGGCGAAAGACUAAUCGAACCAUCU